UUUUCCGCGGGUUGCGGCUUUGAUUCCCGCCUGAGUCUGGGUGUUAUAUGUGCAUUAAUAUAUUUAUAUAUGUAUUCUUUCUAUGUAUAUUUAUAUUGAAAUAAUACUUAGCUAUAACAGUUGUCUGUUACUUGUAACAGAAACGUUAAGUUGCUUAACACGAAAACAGACGGCCGUGUAAAUGUGUAUGUAUAAAUAUAUUUAUAUUUUUUAUCUACAUUUAUUUACUUUAUUUUAGGGCGGUUGGAUAUCAUUUGCUGUACUUCGUUUCUUGCAAGGCGGUGCUCAAGCUGGACUUUACCCCGGAAUCCAAUUUUUAGUUACGCAUUGGUUUCCUGUUAGUGAACGUAACUCUCUCAGCAGCUUCAUUUAUGCGGUUAUAUGUAUCAUUUGCUGGUAUCCACACGCGUCAGCAACACCAAGCUUCGUCCACUCGAUCUCUUCCAGUCCCAGCAUCUAUUUUGAUUAUGUAGGCAAAUUGAAAAUUAAUAAUGGCCAUCUCAGCGUAUUGAAUCCAAUUAACAUAUCAAACAUCAAACUGCACAUAGAAAACAUUUUGUCCGUUUUAGUUACCGUUAGACAUCUCUGUCAACAAACAGAUGCUCUUGAUAAUUCGGAAUGCUACAAUAUGCUUAACCCGCUAACCACACGGUACCAUGAUAUCAAUAAGCAAUAUUCCUCUAUUUCUCACUUGUUGGACGACAAAAUAAAACGUGGCGCAUGGAUUGGUGGUAUGGGUACAAUUUUCAAGCAGAUUUUUGGUACUUUAGAUCAAAAUGACGCUGUAAAAUAUGACAAUGCAAUAAAUACAAUACAAAA